rnacentral:rRNA from 1 species
AGAGUUUGAUCCUGGCUCAGAUUGAACGCUGGCGGCACGCUUUAUACAUGCAAGUCGAACGGUAACAGGCAAAAAGCUUGCUUUUUGCGCUGACGAGUGGCGGACGGGUGAGUAAUGCGUAGGAACCUACCCUGAAGAAGGGGACAACCCGGGGAAACUCGGGCUAAAACCGUAUAACACUUUUCGAAGGAAAGCUGGCUACUUGUAGCUGGUGCUUUAGGAGGGGCCUACGUUAGAUUAGCUUGUUGGUGGGGUAAAGGCCUACCAAGGCAAUGAUCUAUAGCUGUUCUGAGAGGAAGAUCAGCCACACUGGGACUGAGACACGGCCCAGACUCCUACGGGAGGCAGCAGUAGGGAAUCUUGGACAAUGGGGGAAACCCUGAUCCAGCGAUGCCGCGUGUGUGAAGAAGGCCUGCGGGUUGUAAAGCACUUUUAAUGGGGAGGAAUAGUUCCACGUAAAUAGCGUGGAGCAAUGACGUUACCCAUAGAAUAAGCACCGGCAAACUCUGUGCCAGCAGCCGCGGUAAUACAGAGGGUGCGAGCGUUAAUCGGAAUGACUGGGCGUAAAGGGCACGUAGGCGGUAGAACAAGUUAGAUGUGAAAUAUCAGGGCUUAACCUUGGUGCUGCAUCUAAAACUGUUUUACUAGAGUUCACUAGAGGGAAGCGGAAUUUCCGGUGUAGCGGUGAAAUGCGUAGAUAUCGCAAGGAACAUCAGUGGCGAAAGCGGCUUUCUGGAGAUGAACUGACGCUAAUGUGCGAAAGCGUGGGGAGCGAACAGGAUUAGAUA